CAAAUCCCACCGACACUGAAGUUCUGCCCUGGUGGCUGUUCUGGGUUAGCCCCCAUUUGGUAUGUGGGUAAAUCAGAUUUAGAAUAAUUUUAACCAUCUGAGUGAUUGAUUUAGACCCAGUGAAGACUCUAAAAGUCUUCCAAUGAAAGCUGAAUCUUGCCCUGGGGCAUUGCAGCAACCCAAUAAACCCAGAGGAGAAAUGUAGCAUGGAACAACUUCAGCUAUUACCAGGAGAUUCAUGCUGGCUAUUAGCAUCACUCAAAAACCUGAGGAACAGGUGAUAGGUGAUGUUACUGGUGGAAUAAAGGUGUGCACAUGGAAAGUUGCCUCCCUCUGAAAUACCAGUGAGAGCUGCAUAGGAGUAUCUGGCAUUUUUGACCAUAUUUUCAAAGACUGUCAACCGACUUAACAACUGACUUCACUCUCCAGUGCUGUAUUAGCCUCGGAUGCAAGAAUCAGCCUUCUCUUCACAGGUGCAGGAAUAUUUCUGAGUAAGAACUGAAGCAUCUCUACUCAUUUAGAGGAAAUGUUACACAAUGCAGGACAAACCAGUCAAGCCACUUUAAACAGGAUAAAUGAAUGAAGGCUUCAAGCCAAAUCGGCAUGACCCUUUCCUAGAGAACUUGAGUUCAAAGGACUAUCCCCUCUCACAGACUGAGGCCACCGGAGAGAGCUGCGCCUGA
rnacentral:lncRNA from 1 species